UACGUAGGGUGCAAGCGUUGUCCGGAAUUAUUGGGCGUAAAGAGCUCGUAGGCGGCUUGUUGCGUCGGCUGUGAAAACCCGCAGCUCAACUGUGGGCUUGCAGCCGAUACGGGCAGGCUAGAAUUCGGUAGGGGAGACUGGAAUUCCUGGUGUAGCGGUGAAAUGCGCAGAUAUCAGGAGGAACACCGGUGGCGAAGGCGGGUCUCUGGGCCGAUAUUGACGCUGAAGCGCGAAAGCCAGGGGAGCGAACGGG
rnacentral:rRNA from 1 species